UACGAAGGGGGCUAGCGUUGCUCGGAAUCACUGGGCGUAAAGCGCACGUAGGCGGGUUGUUAAGUCGGGGGUGAAAUCCUGGAGCUCAACUCCAGAACUGCGUCCGAUACUGGCAGGCUUGAAUCCGGGAGAGGGAUGUGGAAUUCCAGGUGUAGCGGUGAAAUGCGUAGAUAUCUGGAGGAACACCGGUGGCGAAGGCGGCAUCCUGGACCGGUAUUGACGCUGAUGCGCGAAAGCCAGGGGAGCAAACGGG
rnacentral:rRNA from 1 species